rnacentral:misc_RNA from 1 species
AAAAUAAAUAAAUAAAAGGAAAAAAAGAAAGCACAAAUUAGGGUUUUGUGCUUUACUCACUCAAAAUUCAAAAAUUAUGACGGGAUUGGACUCUGCUCAGCUCCAAAAUCCCCAGAACAGCGCCCAAUCUAGCCUCAUCUUCAACAAAGGCCAAGAGGUGGAAGUGAGUAGCGACGAUGAUGGGUUUAGGGGCGCAUGGUACGUGGC